rnacentral:rRNA from 1 species
UGUCAAAUCAUCAUGCCCUUUAUGUCCCGGGCUACACACGUACCACAAUGGCAUUUAACAAUGAGCAGCGAACCCGCGAGGGGAGGCCAAUCUCCAAAAAGUGCCUCAGUUCAGAUUGCAGGCUGCAACUCGCCUGCAUGAAGUCGGAAUUGCUAGUAAUCGCGAAUCAGCAUGUCGCGGUGAAUACGUUCCCGGGCCUU